rnacentral:rRNA from 1 species
UCCCGGGCCACCCGGCCUGCGGCGGAAUGUUGCGUAAAGGGAAAGGUCGUAGUCAAACCCUACAGCCACACGAACUCUAAGUCAGCCACGAAUAGGCUAUCCCAACUAACGGCGGGAUUGACUCCAUGGAGGGUGUAAGACCCGUGUGGGCGUGUGUUGUAUGCUGUGUGGGAUCGGCCUCUUCCCUGAGAGUCGCGUUGCUUGAGCAUGCAGCGCUAAGCAGGUCGUAAACUCGAUCUAAGGCUAAAUAUAUCCACAGGACCGAUAGCAAACAAGUACCGUGAGGGAAAGUUGAAAAGCACUCUGAAGAGAGAGUCAAAAGACCGUGAAACCGUUCAGAGUAUAAGCCCAUGGCACUUGGAAGGCUUCCGUAGCUGUGUGUCCUCCUCGGAGGACGCGAGGAGUCAUUGAGAAAGGAUCGUUGCAGGGUUAGUCUCCUACGUGCGGGAGGAACGGUCAGGCGUUGCGGAGGUGCGUUGGCUCUCGGGCCUUCGUGUCCUUUCGUGGUGUCUCCGCCCUCUUUAUUGAACGAACGAUCAAGGUCAAAUGUCGACUUAUACGGUAUAUGCCCACCACAGUUCGUUGUGAGGUCACCCACAGGCUCAAACUGUCGAUCGUGCGUCCGGACGUGUGUCUUGCGUGCAGUGUUCCUUAUUGUUUCGUCAGCAUUCUCUGCGGCGAUUCACUUGCACCAAGCCCGUCUGGCCAGGCGACGAAACGAGCAUAACCUGGUAUGAUCCUCGUGCGACGAUCUGAUUCUGACCGAGUUUCUGGCUGUCUCUAGCUCUGCCCAUGUGUCGGGUGGAGCAUAGAGGUUAGCAACCCUGGCUGUAUGGUCCGCUGGACGAUGUCAAAGUCGACAAGAUCUCAGUCAAGGCAGCCUCAUGACUCGCGUGGUGUUAAGUCCGGUACCAUCGGUCACGUCUCGAAACACGGGCCAAGGAGUAUAGCAUGUGUGCAAGUCUAAGGGUCUCACAAAACCCGCAGGCGAAGUGAAAGCAAUGGUGUGGCGAGAGAGCCACGGCAAUCUCGUCAGUCUGGUGUAAAAACCUGGCUUAAAUCGAGCUGAUCCUGUUCUGUUGGCAAUGUCUCAAGGCAGGCGCAAGCUCCGGGCUCACGAACUUAACACUGGUGUUUCGGCACUGUGUCGUGAGCACCGCGAAGCAUGCAUGCUAUAACCCGAAAGAUAGUGAACUAUGCCUGGCGAGGGCGAAGCCCCAGGAAACUGGGGUGGAGGCCCGUAGCCG